ACUCAAAUGAAUUGACGGGGGCCCGCACAAGCGGUGGAGCAUGUGGUUUAAUUCGACGCAACGCGAACAACCUUACCUGGGCUUGAACUGUAGGCAGUAGGAGCUAUGAAAGUAGCGACGAACCGUAAAGCCGGUUGCCUAUAGAGGUGCUGCAUGGCUGUCGUCAGCUCGUGUCGUGAGAUGUUGGGUUAAGUCCCGCAACGAGCGCAACCCUUACUCUAUGUUGCCACGUCCGUAAAGGACAGCACUCUUAGAGAACCGCCUCGGACAACGGGGAGGAAGGUGGGGAUGACGUCAAGUCACCAUGGCCUUUAUGUCCAGGGCUACACACGUGCUACAAUGGCCGGUACAACGAGCAGCAAAUCCGCAAGGAGGAGCAAAUCUCUAAAAGCCGGCCCCAGUUCAGAUUGUGGGCUGCAAUUCGCCCACAUGAAGGUGGAAUCGCUAGUAAUCGGAGAUCAGCUGGCUCCGGUGAAUACGUUCCCGGGCCUUGUACACACCGCCCGU
rnacentral:rRNA from 1 species